CAGGACUUGCGUAACCAAAGGGUGUGAUUCACUUCUGGUAAGAAGAGACCAACAAUGGCCAUUACUGUAGCACGGGAGACUCCUACCACGAGCAGUAUUAGGAACCAACAGUAAAUGUUUUUUCUUUCUCUAGAUCCCAGGGAGGACGUUCAGUGGGACACUUCCUCACUUACAGAAAGAGUUUCUGAUAUUCAGUCACUUGCAGGUGAGUUCCCAUCACAUCUCAUACUCCAUUCUGCUUUGCCAGUAGUCAUGGCUUGCAGUACAUAAUUCCUACCUGCAUCUCUCAUCACUGCUAUCAAUCCCACAGUUGAAAAUAAAUUCAGCUCUACAAAAGUAAAUCCACAUCUCCCAGGCAUUUCCUGAAUUUACCCCUUCAAAUCUCAAAAUAAUGCCAAUUUAAGAUUAACGUAAACCAUUCACAUCCACGAAUCACCUCUGCAAACCAAACCCUAACUUCCAAAUUUCGUUAUCCGAUUAUUCUUCCCUUACUCAUACUUUUUCAUUAGCCAAUUCUGCAAUGUCCCCGCACCUCCCAUUCCUGUGUACUCUCCUUGAAGGAACACUCCAGCAUUAUAAAUAAAUACAUUUAUUUGUAACAGUGGAGUGUUGCUGAAUUUUUAUGGCCACCUUCCUUUGCUCUAAAAAGAUUGAAUUACUUCUAGUCCAGUAGUGAGAGGGUUCUUCACUGCAAGUCCACUCAUUCUACUAACUGGGAAAUCAUCUCAAGUAAUGGUAUGCCAGCAGGCAGUGUUUUAGAAAGAGGCCAGUGCAUUUCUAUGUGAAGCAUUGCCUUUUGCAUUGUGCUGGGGAACAAAACAAUCGGGAAGAGCAACUUCCUGACUCCAUGAUCGACAGCGGGGUAAGCGGAAGCUGCAUCAUAAAACUGUAAAAGGAGGGACCUUAAAUGUGUUUAGAGUAUUUCUUCAAAAUGUUUCAUGACCUAGAUCCAUUUUCUUCUCCCAUUAUAAUCCACUUGUAUGCUCCGUUUGAUAACUUCAAGGGACAGUUUAGUCACCAUAACAACGUCAUCUAAAUUAAGUUUAUUUGGUGCUAGGAGGCACCAGGCGCACUCUUACCUAAGGGGGUUAAACCGUCCACUUAUAUUUUAAAGUUUACUCUAGUGCCCCUAUUCACUCCCCCCCCAGGUGGCACCCUGCUUCUAAAAUGUCAUUUUAAGGACAGGAAAGCAAGAGUGCCACGGGGGCGCCGAUUGACUGAAAGCAGUCAGUGGCUCCCCAUUCACAAAACUUGCUUUUAAAAAAACAAACAAAAAAAACCCAUUUCUUUCCAAACCAGUUCUGUGAAUGGAGAGUCGCUGAUUGGCUGAGAGCAACAGCUGACCGCUCUCAGCGAAUUAGUGGCACCCCUGUGCGGCAGCACUCCGCACUUCCUAAAAAGUGAAAUAUUAGAAACCGGAUGCCGCAAGUGGAGAUCGGCGCUGAAGGUAAUUUUGAGGUUUAACCCAGUGGUUCCCAAACCAGUCUUCAAGGCAACUCUACCAGUCCAGGAUUUAGGGAUUACCCCAUUGUGUCUAAGGUGUUUUUACAAGGAAAUAAAUAAAUAAAACACUUUAGACACAACGGGGUAAUCCCUAAAUCCUGGACUGGUAGUGGUGCCUUGAGGACUGAUUUGGGUCCCACUAGUUUAAUCCAUUUAGGUAAGAGUGUGCCGGGAGCCUCCUGGCACCAUAACAACUUUAUUUAGACAAAGUUGUUACGGUGCCUGGAAUGUUCCUUUAAUAAAUAUGUUUUUCCAGAAACUGACUGUAAUUACACUGAAUAAAUUAUGCAAACAACCCAUAUGUUUUAUUUUCCAGGCCAUACCAAUCUGUAUUCUGAAGUACAAAAUAGUAUGUAGGAAACAAGAUAUAACUGGUGCUCAUUCUAAGCCAUCAACAUGCGAGACCAUCACCUUUACUCUAUGGUGGAUUGGGAUGAAGGAAUGGCUGCAUACAUACAUGUUUGGAGUUUUAUAUUCUGUUUUUAAGAAUGCAUGUUUAAUUUUAAAAUGCUUCAGAUUUUACUGCUCCAGAAUAAAAAAUGAGAACAAAGUGCACCAUGUUCUAUUAUUCAUCCCAGACAAUCUACUAGAUUUGGGAUAAUUAAAGGGACACUAUAGUCACCUGAACAACUUUAGCUUAAUGAAGCAGUUUUGGUGUAUAGAACAUGC
rnacentral:lncRNA from 1 species